rnacentral:rRNA from 1 species
UACGAGGGGUCCUAGCGUUGUUCGGAAUCAUUGGGCGUAAAGGGUGCGUAGGUGGCCAUUCAAGUCAGUUGUGAAAUCCCCGGGCUCAACCCGGGAAGUGCUUCUGAUACUGUUUGGCUUGAGUACUGGAGAGGAUAGUAGAAUUCCAGGUGUAGUGGUGAAAUACGUAGAUAUCUGGAGGAAUACCGGCGGCGAAGGCGGCUAUCUGGCCAUGUACUGACACUGAAGCACGAAAGCGUGGGGAGCAAACAGG